GAAACGCACAAAUACAAGAAAACCAAACGGUAUGUCCCUUUGCACACACCGUAUGCAAAUGCAGCAGCGCCAAAGACAGACGAACGUUGUCGUUGAGAGGGGAUGACGACAUUGGCGACUUAAUUUGUGAGAUGAGCUGAGCUGUGAAAGUCAGACGAACCAGAUCGAAUGUUUUGGGAACUUUGUAAGGUGUUUUUGUUCAGUCAACAAAUUGUUCAGUGAAACGCACAAACACGCACAAAAAAAAAACAGGAUGUCCCUUUGCACACACCGUAUGUAAAUGCAGCAGCGCCAAAGACAGAAGAACGUUGAGGAGCUGACGACAGUGGCGACUUUGUGAGGACAAUGACUUGGAGAAAGCUGAGAGAGACAUGGCUAAUACAGUCAUUGGAAUUUUCAUUGUCCGAGCUGAAGGUGCAGGACCUGAACAACCACCAUUGGAUGUUGGGAUCAUUGUUGAAGGAGUGAAAGUGCUUCAGCAUCUACGAGAUGUCACCAAGGCUUGUGCUCUCCUCUUGGGAGUAAUAUAUACCUUGAAUCUUAGCUAUCCAUGUGAUCUCAAGUACACCUUUGAGUUUCUUCAAAAGGUGUUACUGGAACUUGAUGCAAGCAAACUUUCACACAAAAUGCAGGUACUUAAAAAUAAACUUAUUGAAUAAUUAACUGAUGUUUAGUUUAAUUCCAGUACAAUACUGCUGUUUGAAAAACAA